rnacentral:rRNA from 1 species
AAGACUGGAUAGGGAAUAAAAAGGCAUCUUUUUAUUUUUAAAAGACCUUUUUCGGAAGGUAUGCUUAAAGAGGGGCUUGCGUCACAUUAGUUAGUUGGCAGGGUAAAGGCCUACCAAGACUAUGAUGUGUAGCUGGACUGAGAGGUUGAACAGCCACAUUGGGACUGAGACACGGCCCAAACUCCUACGGGAGGCAGCAGUAGGGAAUUUUCGGCAAUGGAGGAAACUCUGACCGAGCAACGCCGCGUGAACGAUGAAGUAUUUCGGUAUGUAAAGUUCUUUUAUUGAAGAAGAAAAAAUAGUGGAAAAACUAUCUUGACGAUAUUCAAUGAAUAAGCCCCGGCAAACUAUGUGCCAGCAGCCGCGGUAAUACAUAGGGGGCGAGCGUUAUCCGGAAUUAUUGGGCGUAAAGGGUGCGUAGGCGGUUUAAUAAGUCUAUAGUUUAAUUUCAGUGCUUAACACUGUCCUGCUAUAGAAACUAUUAGACUAGAGUGAGAUAGAGGCAAGUGGAAUUCCAUGUGUAGCGGUAAAAUGCGUAAAUAUAUGGAGGAACACCAGAGGCGUAGGCGGCUUGCUGGGUCUUUACUGACGCUGAGGCACGAAAGCGUGGGGAGCAAACAGGAUUAGAUACCCUGGUAGUCCACGCCGUAAACGAUGAGUACUAAGUGUCGGGAUUACUCGGUACUGAAGUUAACACAUUAAGUACUCCGCCUGAGUAGUACGUACGCAAGUAUGAAACUUAAAGGAAUUGACGGGACUCCGCACAAGCGGUGGAUCAUGUUGUUUAAUUCGAAGAUACACGAAAAACCUUACCAGGUCUUGACAUACUCUGCAAAGCUAUAGCAAUAUAGUGGAGGUUAUCAGGGAUACAGGUGGUGCAUGGUUGUCGUCAGCUCGUGUCGUGAGAUGUUAGGUUAAGUCCUAAAACGAGCGCAACCCUUGUCAUUAGUUGCCAGCAUGUCAUGAUGGGCACUUUAAUGAGACUGCCAAUGAAAAAUUGGAGGAAGGUGAGGAUCACGUCAAAUCAUCAUGCCCCUUAUGAUCUGGGCUACAAACGUGAUACAAUGGCUGUUACAAAGAGUAGCUGAAACGUAAGUUUAUAGCCAAUCUCAUAAAAGCAGUCUCAGUUCGGAUUGAAGUCUGCAACUCGACUUCAUGAAGUUGGAAUCGCUAGUAAUCGCGAAUCAGCAUGUCGCGGUGAAUACGUUCUCGGGGUUUGUACACACCGCCCGUCAAACCACGAAAGUUGGUAAUACUCAAAAACGGUAGCCUAACUUCUUCGGAAGAGGGAACCGUCUAAGGUAGGAUCGAUGAUUGGGGUUAAGUCGUAACA